rnacentral:rRNA from 1 species
AUUGAACGCUGGCGGCAGGCCUAACACAUGCAAGUCGAGCGGAUGACGGGAGCUUGCUCCUGGAUUCAGCGGCGGACGGGUGAGUAAUGCCUAGGAAUCUGCCUGGUAGUGGGGGACAACGUUUCGAAAGGAACGCUAAUACCGCAUACGUCCUACGGGAGAAAGCAGGGGACCUUCGGGCCUUGCGCUAUCAGAUGAGCCUAGGUCGGAUUAGCUAGUUGGUGAGGUAAUGGCUCACCAAGGCGACGAUCCGUAACUGGUCUGAGAGGAUGAUCAGUCACACUGGAACUGGGACACGGUCCAGACUCUUACGGGAGGCAGCAGUGGGGAAGAUUGGACAAUGGGCGAAAGCCUGAUCCAGCCAUGCCGCGUGUGUGGAGAAGGUCUUCGGAUUGUAAAGCACUUUAAGUUGGGAGGAAGGGUUGUAGAUUAACACUCUGCAAUUUUGACGUUACCGACAGAAUAAGCACCGGCUAACUCUGUGCCAGCAGCCGCCGUAACAC